AGAGUUUGAUCCUGGCUCAGGACGAACGCUGGCGGCAUGCCUAACACAUGCAAGUCGAACGGAGAAUUUAUUUCGGUAAAUUCUUAGUGGCGAACGGGUGAGUAACGCGUAGGCAACCUGCCCUUUAGAUGGGGACAACAUUCCGAAAGGAGUGCUAAUACCGAAUGAGACGCUUUUUUCGCAUGAAAGAAGCGUGAAAGAUGGCCUCUACAAGUAAGCUAUCGCUAAAGGAUGGGCCUGCGUCUGAUUAGCUAGUUGGUGAGGUAACGGCUCACCAAGGCGACGAUCAGUAGCCGGUCUGAGAGGAUGAACGGCCACAUUGGGACUGAGACACGGCCCAGACUCCUACGGGAGGCAGCAGUGGGGAAUCUUCCGCAAUGGGCGAAAGCCUGACGGAGCAAUGCCGCGUGAGUGAAGAAGGUCUUCGGACCGUAAAGCUCUGUUGUUCAUGAAGAACGUGCAGCCGGUGAAUAAUUGGUUGUAAUGACGGUAGUGAACGAGGAAGCCACGGCUAACUACGUGCCAGCAGCCGCGGUAAUACGUAGGUGGCGAGCGUUGUCCGGAAUUAUUGGGCGUAAAGAGCAUGUAGGCGGUCUUUUAAGUCUGGAGUGAAAAUGCGGGGCUCAACCCCGUAUGGCUUUGGAAACUGGAAGACUUGAGUGCAGGAGAGGAAAGGGGAAUUCCCAGUGUAGCGGUGAAAUGCGUAGAGAUUGGGAGGAACACCAGUGGCGAAGGCGCCUUUCUGGACUGUGUCUGACGCUGAGAUGCGAAAGCCAGGGUAGCGAACGGGAUUAGAUACCCUGGUAGU
rnacentral:rRNA from 1 species